rnacentral:rRNA from 1 species
UACAGAGGUGGCGAGCGUUAUUCGGAAUUAUUGGGCGUAAAGGGCGCGUAGGCGGCUUGACAAGUCCCGGGUGAAAUCCCUCGGCUCAACCGAGGAACUGCCUUGGAAACUGUCUGGCUUGAGGCCGGGAGAGGGUAGUGGAAUUCCCAGUGUAGCGGUGAAAUGCGUAGAUACUGGGAGGAACACCGGUGGCGAAGGCGCUACCUGGACCGGUUCUGACGCUGAGGCGCGAAAGCGUGGGUAGCAAACAGG